rnacentral:rRNA from 1 species
AUAAUGGGUCAGCGACUUAUAUUCUGUAGCAAGGUUAACCGAAUAGGGGAGCCGAAGGGAAACCGAGUCUUAACUGGGCGUUAAGUUGCAGGGUAUAGACCCGAAACCCGGUGAUCUAGCCAUGGGCAGGUUGAAGGUUGGGUAACACUAACUGGAGGACCGAACCGACUAAUGUUGAAAAAUUAGCGGAUGACUUGUGGCUGGGGGUGAAAGGCCAAUCAAACCGGGAGAUAGCUGGUUCUCCCCGAAAGCUAUUUAGGUAGCGCCUCGUGAAUUCAUCUCCGGGGGUAGAGCACUGUUUCGGCAAGGGGGUCAUCCCGACUUACCAACCCGAUGCAAACUGCGAAUACCGGAGAAUGUUAUCACGGGAGACACACGGCGGGUGCUAACGUCCGUCGUGAAGAGGGAAACAACCCAGACCGCCAGCUAAGGUCCCAAAGUCAUGGUUAAGUGGGAAACGAUGUGGGAAGGCCCAGACAGCCAGGAUGUUGGCUUAGAAGCAGCCAUCAUUUAAAGAAAGCGUAAUAGCUCACUGGUCGAGUCGGCCUGCGCGGAAGAUGUAACGGGGCUAAACCAUGCACCGAAGCUGCGGCAGCGACGCUGAUGCGUUGUUGGGUAGGGGAGCGUUCUGUAAGCCUGCGAAGGUGUGCUGUGAGGCAUGCUGGAGGUAUCAGAAGUGCGAAUGCUGACAUAAGUAACGAUAAAGC